rnacentral:rRNA from 1 species
UUGGAGGGCAAGUCUGGUGCCAGCAGCCGCGGUAAUUCCAGCUCCAAUAGCGUAUAUUAAAGUUGUUGCAGUUAAAAAGCUCGUAGUUGAUUUUCUGUUAAUUUUUAUGUAUAAUAUUGCGAUAUUUACAUAAUAUUAACAUGAUUCACAUUACUUUACAGUAUGUGGAAUUUUACUUUGAGAAAAUUAGAGUGCUUAAAGCAGGCUAUUGCCUUGAAUACUCCAGCAUGGAAUAAUAUUAAGGAUUUUUAUUCUUCUUAUUGGUUCUAGAAUAAAAAUAAUGAUUAAUAGGAACAGUUGGGGGCAUUUGUAUUUAACAGUUAGAGGUGAAAUUYUUAGAUUUGUUAAAGACAAACUACUGCGAAAGCAUUUGCCAAGGAUGUUUUCGUUAAUCAAGAACGAAAGUUAGGGGAUCGAAGACGAUCAGAUACCGUCGUAGUCUUAACCAUAAACUAUGCCAACUAGAGAUUGGAGGUUGUUCCUUACUCCUUC